UACGAAGGGGGCUAGCGUUGUUCGGAAUCACUGGGCGUAAAGCGCACGUAGGCGGACUGAUUAGUUGGGGGUGAAAUCCCAGGGCUCAACCCUGGAACUGCCUUCAAUACUGUCAGUCUUGAGUCCGAGAGAGGUGAGUGGAAUUCCUAGUGUAGAGGUGAAAUUCGUAGAUAUUAGGAAGAACACCAGUGGCGAAGGCGGCUCACUGGCUCGGUACUGACGCUGAGGUGCGAAAGCGUGGGGAGCAAACAGGAUUAGAUACCCCCGUA
rnacentral:rRNA from 1 species